AGGGUGACAGGGGCUUUGAUGGACUACCUGGUCUUCCAGGGAACAAAGGACAUAGAGGAGACAGAGGAAAACCAGGACCCCAUGGUCCACCUGGAGAGCCCGGUCAUAAGGGUUCGGAUGGACCUGUUGGACCAAGAGGGCAACCGGGAGAACCUGUGAG